rnacentral:sRNA from 1 species
UCAUAUAGCUAAGGAUUUGCAUUCUCAUGAUUGAGUUUAGUGUUUAUAGACUUUCU